UACGUAGGGGGCAAGCGUUGUCCGGAAUUACUGGGCGUAAAGCGUGCGCAGGCGGUGAUGUAAGACAGUUGUGAAAUCCCCGGGCUCAACCUGGGAACUGCAUCUGUGACUGCAUUGCUGGAGUGCGGCAGAGGGGGAUGGAAUUCCGCGUGUAGCAGUGAAAUGCGUAGAUAUGCGGAGGAACACCGAUGGCGAAGGCAAUCCCCUGGGCCUGCACUGACGCUCAUGCACGAAAGCGUGGGGAGCAAACAGG
rnacentral:rRNA from 1 species